GCAGAGGUAGCGAAGCGGUCCAACGCGUAAGGCUAAGGACCUUAUGGCCUAGCGCCCUCGGGGGUUCAAAUCCCCUCCUCUGCA
rnacentral:tRNA from 1 species